UACGUAGGGGGCAAGCGUUGUCCGGAUUUAUUGGGCGUAAAGGGCUUGUAGGUGGCCACGCCAAGUCGGAUGUGAAAUCUCCCGGCUCAACUGGGAGGGGUCAUUCGAUACUGGCGGGCUCGAGGCCGGUAGGGGGAAGUGGAAUUCCCGGUGUAGUGGUGGAAUGCGUAGAUAUCGGGAGGAACACCAGUGGCGAAGGCGGCUUCCUGGACCGGUUCUGACACUGAGGAGCGAAAGCGUGGGGAGCGAUCCGG
rnacentral:rRNA from 1 species